CCCUUAGAUGUUCUGGGCCGCACGCGCGCUACACUGACUGGUGCAACAAGUGUCGCUCCUUGGCCGAUAGGCCUGGGCAAUCUUUGAACGCCAGUCGUGAUGGGGAUAGAUUCUUGCAAUUUUUGAUCUUCAACGAGGAAUUCCUAGUAAACGCGAGUCAUCAACUCGCAUUGAUUACGUCCCUGCCCUUUGUACACACCGCCCGUCGCACCUACCGGUUGAAUGGUCCGGUGAACCCUCCGGAUCGGCCCGCGCCAACGCAAGUUGAGCAAAGGCCGAGAAGUUGGGUAAACCUUACCAUUUAGAGGAAGGUGAAGUCGUAACA
rnacentral:rRNA from 1 species